AUCACAAACAACUUGCAGGUUGGAGAAUAAAAAACAGUUUGCAUUAUAUGAUCAAAUCCAAAUUGAUUUAGAUCAAUAUGAUAUACUAUCAAGUCUAUCACAGUUUACAAUACUGAAAGAUUCUUCAAGAAUUGUGCUUUACAGUUAAAUGGCUUACCAAAUACGUUUAACAGUACCACCAUUCAACUACUAAGCAACCUGCUCUCGGGAAAUAAAGUAUUUGAAGGCUUUGUUGUCUGCCAAUUUAAGCACCAUAACUGGGCUAACUCCAAGUUCCUCAUAAACUCAUCUUACCAAACUACAGCAUCAAGUGAUGGGACAAUCAACUAAAGGUUAUAUUGAUACCCAGAAAAGCUAGGUAUGCAGUUGUCACGGGGGCAAACAAAAGGAUUGGAUUUGCAAUCUGUAAUGGAUUAGCUUUCCAUGGAAUCACAGUGGUGUUGACUGCAAGAGAUGAGAAGAGGGACUCGAUGCUCUUCACCAGCACAAAGGGACUGGUGGGCUUACUGUUCUCUUUCAUAAGCUUGAUGUGACAGAUUCAUCUGAUGUUGCUUACCCAGUUUGGAAGGCUUGACGUCUUGGUGAAUAAUGUUGCGGUUCUUGGAAACAUUCAUGAUGUUCGAAGAGCAGCAUUACACAGGAAACUGGAGCUCGAAUUGACUCGAAAGCUGAAUCAUGAUUCGAAGACUCGGCCGAGUCGUCACCGUCUCGGCUUUCGCCGAUACGAUACCUUGACGAAAUGAUACCAAGAUACUCAACUCAUCGAGAUGUUAUCGUGAAGAUUUGAAACGGCCGAGUCAUACCGAAUCAUCCCGAGUCAACUCGAAUUUUUAUUAUUUUUACUAAUAUUUUAAUUAUUUUUGUUUAUCAUAUUUUUUACAAUUUUUAGAAUAUUAAAUAUUUCAAAAAUUCGCGUUUUGCUGAGACCGAUGUGGAACGGUCCAGGCCGCGAUCGCAACCGCAACCGCGACUUUGAACCAUGAGCUGAAUGCAAUGAGACAUGAAAUGUCAGUGGAAUGCUUGGAAACAAAUUGGUCCAAAAAGAAUGAUUGAAGCAUUCUUGCCUCUUCUCCAAUCAUCUCAAUCCCCAAGCAUUGUCAGUGCUUCUUCUCUCGUAGGCAAGCUAGAGGGACUGAACUCGAAUAUGCAAUGUGCUUCUUUAACUAUAUGAUUUCUUUUUUGGAUGUUUUUGUCCAUAGUUGCAACGUGCAACUGCUUCCUCACCAUUGAUUUAUUUGGAUGAGGUGCUGAAUGAAUAUCUAAAAGACUUCAUCAAAGCAGGUGCCCACGGGGCCAAAGGCUGGCCUUUAGCAUGUGCAAUCUCAAAAGCGAGUCUGAAUGCUUAUACAAGGAUUCUUGCCAAGAAGUUGCCUAGUUUCAAAGUGAUUUGUGUUUAUCCCGGUUUUGUGAAAACUGACAUGAGCCACAAUAUUGGUUUAUUGACGCCAGAAGAAGGCGCUGAAAGUCCCGUGAGGCUAGCUUUGUUGCCUGAUGAUGGUCCAUCUAGCUUGUUCUUUAGUCAAAAAGAAGUAUCAUCUUUUGAAUGAGAAAACCAUCUUUAACAACAUUCAGUGUAGCCUAGAAAAUGUUGCACCCUAUCACCGUUUCUGCUUUUCUUUGUGUGUAUUGCAGUGCCAUUUUCAAGACUAUGCUGUACUGCCCAGCAAUCAACGAACAUUUUUGACCAUCUACUGGUUGUUACGUAUAAACAUCUACUGGCUUGGUUUCUGCAACACUAAUUCAUCCAUUGGGACGUUAAGAGGCACUGAACUGGGCAAUCUGCUUCUUCAAGAAUAUGGAUUUUCAAAUUCUUCAUCAUGCAUAGGAUGUCAUUUUAACUUAACAGAGA